rnacentral:rRNA from 1 species
AACGAACGUUAGCGGCGCGCUUAACACAUGCAAGUCGUGCGAGAAAGGGCCUCGGCCCCGGUACAGCGGCGCACGGGUGAGUAACACGUAGGUAAUCUGCCCCCAGGUGGUGGAUAACCUUCCGAAAGGAGGGCUAAUACAGCAUAAGACCACGGGUUCGAAAGGACUUGAGGUCAAAGCCUGCCUCUUCACGAAAGCUGGCGCCAGGGGAUGAGCCUGCGGCCAAUCAGGUAGUUGGUAGGGUAAUGGCCUACCAAGCCAAAGACGGGUAGCUGGUCUGAGAGGAUGAUCAGCCACACUGGAACUGAGACACGGUCCAGACUCCUACGGGAGGCAGCAGUGGGGAAUCUUGCGCAAUGGGCGAAAGCCUGACGCAGCGACGCCGCGUGAGUGAUGAAGGCCCUCGGGUUGUAAAGCCCUUUUGUUGGGAAAGAAAAGCAGCCAGUUAAUACCUGGUUGUUCUGACGGUACCCAAAGAAUAAGCACCGGCUAACUUCGUGCCAGCAGCCGCCGUAA